AUUGAACGCUGGCGGCAUGCUUUACACAUGCAAGUCGAACGGCAGCGCGGGCUUCGGCCUGGCGGCGAGUGGCGAACGGGUGAGUAAUGCAUCGGAACGUGCCCAGUAGUGGGGGAUAGCCCGGCGAAAGCCGGAUUAAUACCGCAUACGACCUGAGGGUGAAAGCGGGGGACCGAAAGGCCUCGCGCUAUUGGAGCGGCCGAUGUCGGAUUAGCUAGUUGGUGGGGUAAAGGCUUACCAAGGCGACGAUCCGUAGCUGGUCUGAGAGGACGACCAGCCACACUGGGACUGAGACACGGCCCAGACUCCUACGGGAGGCAGCAGUGGGGAAUUUUGGACAAUGGGGCAACCCUGAUCCAGCCAUGCCGCGUGCGGGAAGAAGGCCUUCGGGUUGUAAACCGCUUUUGUUCGGGAAGAAAUCCUCUGGGCUAAUACCCCGGGGGAUGACGGUACCGGAAGAAUAAGCACCGGCUAACUACGUG
rnacentral:rRNA from 1 species